rnacentral:rRNA from 1 species
UACGUAGGGGGCAAGCGUUGUCCGGAAUCAUUGGGCGUAAAGCGCGUGUAGGCGGCCCGGUAAGUCCGCUGUGAAAGUCGGGGGCUCAACCCUCGGAUGCCGGUGGAUACUGUCGGGCUAGAGUGCGGGAGAGGCGAGUGGAAUUCCUGGUGUAGCGGUGAAAUGCGCAGAUAUCAGGAAGAACACCAAUGGCGAAGGCAGCUCUCUGGGACGGUACUGACGCUGAGACGCGAAAGCGUGGGGAGCGAACAGG